AUGGCUGAUUAUUCUCCCUUUAGUUAUGUUAACUGGCGUAAAGGAAAUGGAGAAAGAGAACCGAAUGGCGGGACAAGGGAAAAUUAUCUCAAUAUGUUAAGCUACCAAACAUACAGGGGAACUUGGAAUGAUUAUCCGUGCGACUACAAAAUGAGAUACCUUUGCAAGAAGAAUUUGGUAAAUAGUGGAAACUUAACUUUAAACAUAACAUUGAUUAUCACUUCUGCUCUCUCAUUUUAUUUUAAGGUAUACAUGAAUUGAACAACUGAUCACAUUUGUAUUAAGUAUAACAAAUCAUCUAGUCAUCACAUGAUUUAAACAAUUCAAAAUGCUCAAAUAAAUUAUUUAAGGUUCAGAUUAAUCAAAUAAAUUCUGGUUUUAUUUCAGAGAUGCGACUGUGAAGGAAAAAGGAAAUCAAAGUAGAAUAAUAAACAGUAAUAAACAUAAAAUCUUAAAAG
rnacentral:lncRNA from 1 species